rnacentral:lncRNA from 1 species
ACAAACUUUUGGCCUUUAAACUAUCUUGCAGGUAUGAGUAUGACUGUACAGAACUAAUGUGUUCUUAAAUAUGGAGGAUUUAAAUAAGGAUGUUAAAUAUGGAGUUAUUAAAUAAGGAUGGAGCAUGAGGACAUUGGGCACAAGACACCGUCCUGGCUGCAUGCUCUUCAGAUCUUCAAAGUAGAUAUAAGUCUUCCCUGAAGAGAACAUGAGAGGUUAUGGAGGCUGUGUUUUUAUAUAUGUGCUGGAUAUUCAAGAAGUGGAAAGUGUGCUGCAUUUACCCUCCAUUUCUGCUAAGAUGCUGCAGAAAUAAAACUACAACUGUGACAAAGCAUCCCAGCUUCACUUUUCAGAGUGGAAACUCUUCAGGCAUGUGCAAUGCUCAAACAAUGGGAGGAACAAACAAAUUCCUAUUCCUUAAGCAGGUAUAUUGUCCUCAGUAUGCAAGGUCAGUCCUGGCAGGCAGUGAGCAUCUACAAAUGGAAGCCAAAUUCUGACAUAACCUUUUGAAGAGCCAUUUUGGGAAGAUGUCUUAACGUUGCAAUGACAUGCCUGCAAUACCUGGUGAGAAAUGGCUAAUGCAGGCUGGGGACAAACAUGGAAACUGGAGAUGCUUUCCUUCCCCUUUGCCAGCCCACCUUCCCUCUGGUAGAAGGAGCAGCUGCCACCACCAGAGCAGAGGCAAGACACUACUGGGGCAUCUUCCUAAACCAAUAGGUUAAGCACAGCCCUUUCAAGAAGUUGCAAUAUGGAGAAGUUCUGUGCUCUAAUGAGCAGUUAAAUGUGGAAGGGUAGGAUGCUGGAAUUAGCUCAUUAAUUAGAUGUCAGUAUAAUCACAGAGGGCUUAGCCAGGACUAGCUGAGCAGCAGGAGAGAGGGGAGCAGCCUGAGAUCUUUACAAGUUGCUCUUAAUGAAGGCAGCCUCUGUUAUCUCUGAGCCACAGCAGAGAGGAAUCCAGGAAGCGCAUGCAUGCUCUCCACUAAUUAAUGUAGCUCUAAUAGGCCUCCAUGUCUGCUUACAGCAGUCCUCAAAAAAAGACACAGGCUGGAAGAUUAUUAUAAUCAUCUUUUCUCAGGCAGAAAGAUAUGGAAAGUUGCUAUCUGUUUUCUUUUGAGAUGGGAACUUAAUUAGAAAAUGGAAGGGAGUGUGUUUGUCCUGAACCAAAUGUCUGGGAGUCUGGAGCUUGGUCUUGAGUUGAACUUUUCCCCAGUCAAAAAUACCAGAUACAAAAAGUAUCAAUUUGUCUGCAAGGAAACAGCACCCUGCACUUCGGAGCUGAAGGCAAACCAGACUACUCAGCCAAACUCAUAAAUAUCCCUUUUGGAGCUCACAGUAACACACAGCACAGCGAGGAGCUUCUCCAGGCAAUUACUAUAACUAACGUAUGGAGGAAACAAAUUCUUCUAUCAUCUUAUCAGGGCACUUGUUUCUUGCAAAUGUAAGUCAUUUUAAUGUACUCAUUAGUCAGUACAGAAGCUAAUCUGCCUGGUGCAGUGU